rnacentral:rRNA from 1 species
CCUACGGGUGGCAGCAGUGGGGAAUAUUGCGCAAUGGGCGAAAGCCUGACGCAGCGACGCCGCGUGAGGGAUGAAGGUCUUCGGAUCGUAAACCUCUGUCAGCAGGGAAGAACGGUCACUGUGCUAAUCAGCAGUGCAUUGACGGUACCUGCACAGGAAGCACCGGCUAACUCCGUGCCAGCAGCCGCGGUAAUACGGAGGGUGCGAGCGUUAAUCGGAAUUACUGGGCGUAACGCGCUCGUAGGCGGUAUGUCAAGUCAAGGGGGAAGUCCCCGCGCUCAACGUGGGAAAUGCCUUUGAAAAUGGAAAAAUGGAGUGUGUGAGAUGAUAGGGGAAUUGAAGGUGUAGGAGUGAAAUGCGUAGAU